CUGUCUCUCUCUCUCACUGUGUCUCUGUCUCUAUCUCUGGGCCUCUGCCUCUGUCUCUAUUUCUAUCUCUGUUUUUCUGUUUCUGUCUCUCUGGCCCCGCCCCCAUCUUUGUCUCUCGGACUGUGUCCCCCGAUCUCCCCUUUGCUCCCCCCUCCUCCUUCCCCUCUGUCUCCUUCAUACACAGGUCACGCUGUCCCUCGGGGCUCUCCUGGCUCCUCUUCUCUCCUUCCCUUCCACCAUUUUGCUCGAUGAUCGCCUGGGUUCCCAUGGAUUCGGGCCUCGGGUCCAGCCCUGACCUCUCUCUUAGCCUCCAGUCCCACACUACCAGCCUCCCGGUGCAGACGGCCAACCGGACGUCCGGGAGACAUCUUCCCCGUGGCCAGAACAGAGCUGGGCGUCCUGCCCCCGAGCCCCCGGCCCCGUCCGAAUCCCCCCUGCCCUCUGCCCCCUCCAGCCAGGGGCCUCCCGGGUGCUCCUGAGCACCGAUACCAGACCCCGUCUGUGGCCGCGGUCCUCGGACCCUCGCCCUCCAUCAUUGCCCACCCAUCCUUCUGGCUCCUUUUCCCAUGACCUCCCAUCAUUCCCGGGGCCUCCUCCUCAUGGCCGGCACAUCCCGGCUGGGCCUGUUCGUGCCCGUCAUUUGCAUGUGAUCUUCCUCCUUGCCUUGGGAGCUCCUGGGGGCCGGGGACCAUCUCCUCCCUUCCUUCGGAUCCCCAGCACGUUAGCGCAGUGCCUGGCAUACAGCAGGCACUUAAUUAAUGCUUAUUGACUAUACGCCGUUCCCCACCCUCCCCAUCUUUUAAGGUCUGGCUCCGGCUGAGCCUCCAUCGUCAUCUUCAUCGUUUCUCCCGCCCCUCGGAGCUCUCUCCCUCUUGUCCGAGCGCUAGCAGACCCUGGGGUCGCUCCAGAACUAGCAUGGAGUGUUCUAGGUGCCUCGGGCCGGGGGGAGGGGAAGCUCGGCUCCGGGGAGAGCGGGGCCGGGUUUGGGUCCCUUUUUGGCCACGCUAACCCUCGAGCUGCCGGCCGGCCUCGGCAAAGGCCGUGGAAUCGGCUCCCCGGGCGUCCCCCUCCCGCUGGGGAGGCCCUGGCCGAGGCCGGCCCCCGUGGAGAGGUCCAAGUUCUGCCUGCCUGUCUGUCUGUCUGUCUGUCUGCCUUGCUGCCCCCCCCCCCCAGUGCUCAGCUUGUGGCUCUCCUUCCCAUCCUGCCCACGUCCUCUAUUAAUGAUCAUAGCCCAGCUGCUCUCCGCCCCCCUCCCCAUCGCCUCCCACCACAGUGGUUGCUAGGAAACCCCGUUACCCCAGCAACCCAGGAGGCAGGGAUGAGGACCGAGUCCCCUGAAAGACCAAAAGCCUCCCAGGCCUUCCCUCUGGGCAGGCACAGGGGAGGCCGCGGGACCUGGAGUGCGGAGAGCGACGCCGGGGGCAGGAGCCGACGCCGGAGCCGGGUCACCAGGUAGCCCAGGAAGGGGCCGGCCCGGGGGACGCGGGCUGGGCCUAGUGCCCCCAAUCCUUACCAGAGAAGGACUCCGCACAGUUCUCAAAAUCUACCAAUUGAGUGAGUAGAGAUCUAUAUCAGCAGAGUGCCCUUCCUUACCGGGACCAAUGGAGAAGGCAAAACAAACUCCUGCAAAACGAGGUUGCGGAGGCGCCACCCCAUGGGGAUUGAACCCCGAUUACUCCUGCAGCUGGGAGGCCUACAAAGGGCCAGAGGAGGAAGUCCGCCCCCCCCCACCAAGGCUCAGCCCAGGGACAAGCACAUAGUAGUGCUUAAUGGCUUCUGGGCCUCCCGAGCCCUUCGUUCUCCGGAGGUCCGCUGCCUGUCCAUGGUCGGGCAGAGCCACCCUCAAAUUCUGAAGGCACCGCUUUCCACUGAACCACACUGCCUUCUGUCUGUCCGGUCAAAGCUGUAUUUUAAGACUGUUAGUCGGGUGCCAGAGACAAGGUCCUGGCCCCGGCCUCCUCCUUAGGAGCCUCGAGGUCGGGUGGGAUGGGAGACCUUCAGGAAAGCGGGCCCCUCUCUCUCAGCCUGGGCCUCAGGGUUCAGCCUCCAGCCCAGGCCACCUAGGCUUGUGUGGCCUCAAACACAGUUUUCCAGGAACUGGGGAGGCUAUUCAGUCCAACUCUACUUUCCAGAUAAGGAAAUUGAGGCUCCAAGAGGGGACACACGGAGGACGGGUGGAAGGUGGGUUUCCAAGCCAGAUCCUCUGAUUCUGGGCCGACGCCCUCGCCCCCGUCCCAGACUGCUCCCAGCGUCUCCCAAGAAGCCCCCGAUCCCUCCGGCCAGAGUUCAGAGGUCUCCUGCCAUUAUUCAAACUGAGAGCCAGCCCGCCCCCCACCCGGAGAGAAGGGGACAGGCCAGGGAUCCCUGCAGGUGGCGGAGGCAGGGAGAAGGAAGGGGGGACCCAGAUGGCUCCACCCUAGCAUCCUUCUUAAAGGGGCAGCCAGGGGGUGCAGUGGAUAGAGCACCGGCCCUGAAGUCAGGAGGACCUGAGUUCAAACUUCUUAGCUGUGUGACUCUGGGCAAGUCACUUAACCUUAAUUGCCUCAGGGAAAAAAAAGACUCAUGUCCUGGCUGGAGAAGGGGAGUGAGCCCCUCCCCAGAUUACACUUCCUCCCUGAUUUUUUCCCAUCUCCUUCACUUCCCUUGCCCUUGGUUAGACCAGCUGGGGAAAAUGAGGCAAGGAUAUUCUUGACGAUCAUCUCUAGGUGGCAGUGAAGACUCCAGACUGCUGGACAUACAGCUGGUGCUUAAUAAAUACUUAGUGACGCAUAUGAAAGGCCACUGUAGACCUCAGGAGGCUCUGCUCCAGGUGUGUGUGGUAAGGGGACCAUUGGGAUCCCAAGGCACUUAAAAACCCACCUAUGUUGGUUUAACCAUCUAUUAACAUAGAAUGGGUUUAAAAACCCAUUGUCCAUUUGUCCAAAACUGAUGGAGGGCUCUCCUCCCAGAGCUUACCACUAGACUUUGGCCCUGGGUUCAAAUUUCAACUCCAUUAGAAGACUGGGACUCCAGCUGUGGGCUAAUCCCCUCAUUUUAUGGAUGAGAACAUUGAGAAGUGGGAAUAUGGCCCGGGGUCCCAGAGAGAAUUCCAACCCACUCCCUCCCUUUCUGAAGCCUGUCUGACUUUCCUCUGAGGGAAGGUAACAAGUAUUUAUUAAGUGCCUACUACGUGCCAGCACAGUGUUAAGUGCUUUACAAAUGUUAUUUAAUCCUCCUAGCCUCUCGGAGGUUCAGGUGCUUGUAUUAUCCCCAUUUUACAGAGGAGGAAAUUGAGGCAAGCGGAUGGGGCUCACUCAGCUAGGAAGUGUCAGAAAUGCAUUGUCCCGUCCAGCCCUGCAUACCCCGAGCUGUCCCGGUAGAGACCGGGCCCUGGCUCCUCUUUUCCUGAGCCUGGAAGGAGCUCAGGGAAUGAGGAGCGGGCGGAUAAGAGGGAGGGUAGCGGGGAGGGUGUGGGGAGACGCGACCCUGGGGAGCUCUUACGGCCCUUCCAGCUGCGACCAUCUGCCUCCGCGGCUCGGCCCCAUGAAGCCUUGCACCAGAUACAAAGGGUGCGAGCAGGAAGGACGCCGGCUGCCCGAGCCUCUCGCUAGUCGAAGACCGAAGCAACCGCUCGGUUUACGUCCCCGGCGGCCUGGGAGGAGGGCUUGAGAUGAGGGGAGGGAGGGGAGCUGGCGAAGCGACACCCGCCGAGACAACGGAUCGGACAAGCCCAUUGACAGAAGUGUCCCCCGCCCUCCCCCCCCAGCGCUUUCUCUCACCCAAACAAUGGUCGUCCCCCC